rnacentral:rRNA from 1 species
GACGAACGCUGGCGGCGUGCUUAACACAUGCAAGUCGAACGGAAAGGCCCUGCUUUUGUGGGGUGCUCGAGUGGCGAACGGGUGUGUAACACGUGAGUAACCUGCCCUUGACUUUGGGAUAACUUCAGGACACUUGGUCUAAUACCGGAUAGGAGCUCCUGCUGCAUGGUGGGGGUUGGAAAGUUUCGGCGGUUGGGGAUGGACUCGCGGCUUAUCAGCUUGGUGGUGGGGUAGUGGCUUACCAAGGCUUUGACGGGUAGCCGGCCUGAGAGGGUUGCCGGCCACAUUGGGACUGAGAUACGGCCCAGACUGCUACGGGAGGCAGCGGUGGGGAAGAUUGCACAAUGGGCGGAAGCGUGAUGCAGCAACGCCGCGUGCGGGAUGACGGCCUUCGGGUUGUAAACCGCUUUGGCCUGUGACGAAGCGUGAGUGACGGUAAUGGGUAAAGAAGCACCGGCUAACUACGUG